UACGGAGGGUGCGAGCGUUGUCCGGAAUCAUUGGGCGUAAAGGGCUCGUAGGCGGCCAACUAAGUCAGACGUGAAAUCCCUCGGCUUAACCGGGGAACUGCGUCUGAUACUGGAUGGCUAGAGGUUGGGAGAGGGAUGCGGAAUUCCAGGUGUAGCGGUGAAAUGCGUAGAUAUCUGGAGGAACACCGGUGGCGAAGGCGGCAUCCUGGACCAAUUCUGACGCUGAGGAGCGAAAGCCAGGGGAGCAAACGGG
rnacentral:rRNA from 1 species